rnacentral:rRNA from 1 species
UCGCCCUGUUUUUACAAAAACAUGUCCUCUUGAUGAUAUUUUGAGGUCUGGCCUGCUCACUGACAAGGUUUUGAAGAGCCGCGGUAUUUUGACCGUGCAAAGGUAGCAUAAUCAUUAGUCUCUUAAUUAGGGGCUGGAAUGAAUGGCUUGACGAGAAAUCAACUGUCUCUUAAUAAUUUUUAGAAUUUAACUUUUGAGUCAAAAGGCUUAAAUUUUUCUUUAGGACGAGAAGACCCUAUAGAGCUUAACAUUUUAUUUUUAUAUAGUUUUUAGUUGAUCUUUCUAUAUUUAAUGAUAAUGUUUUGUUGGGGUGACAUGAAGAAUAAUUAAACUCUUCAUUAUAAAAUCAUUGAUUUAUGUUUAUCAUGAUCCAUAAUUUAUGAUCAUAAGAUUAAGUUACCUUAGGGAUAACAGCGUAAUUGUUUUCGAGAGCUCAUAUCGACAAAGCAGAUUGCGACCUCGAUGUUGGAUUAAGAAAAAUUUUGGGUGCAGGAGCCCAAUAAU